GAUUAUGAACAUAAAGCAGCGGAGUCUUGUGUGGAGAUCGCUUGGCUGAUAUUGCAUAUAUCAAGAGCUAUUUUGUAUGUGGAAGCAUCGCAUCAAAUAAGCGAAGAGGUAGACGCUAUAAGGCAUGAAGUAGGAGAAUUAUCUCUACUCGUCACAUCAGUCGGUCAGAAGAUUCCCUUAGAAGUUGACAUAUUUCAACUAGUCGUGUUAGAGAAUUAUCCUGAGACGAAUCCGAUGGGUUUCUUUACAGUUUCUCGGACAUUGCUGGGUCCGAUCUUUUCCACUUUUCUCACCUACGGCAUUGUAAUGGUGCAGAUAAGUUCAAAUUUCACUUAAAGUAAUGAAAAUAAACGUUUAAAUUGUAAGU